rnacentral:lncRNA from 1 species
UGCCCCGCCCCCUCCCCCCCCCAGCGCUACAAGUACCGCCCAAAAAGGUGAGCUCAGGUGAGCCCAGGUGAGCCCAGGUGAGCCCAGGUGAGCUCAGGUGAGCCCCAGGUGUGCUCAGGUGAGCCCAGGUGAGCUUCAGGUGAGCCCAGGUGAGCUCAGGUGAGCCCCAGGUGAGCCCCAGGUGAGCUCAGGUGAGCUCCAGGUGAGCCCAGGUGUGCUCAGGUGAGCCCCAGGUGAGCUCAAGGUGAGCCCAGGUGUGCUCAGGUGAGCCCCAGGUGAGCUCAGGUGAGCUCCAGGUGAGCCCAGGUGUGCUCAGGUGAGCUCCAGGUGAGCCCAGGUGAGCCCCAGGUGAGUUCAGGUGAGCCCCAGGUGUGAUCAGGUGACCCCCAGGUGUGCUCACCAUCAUCCAAGGGGACAAACCCAGGUACUGAGAAGGCCCCGCCCAACCCAGGUGUGCACCUGGAGCACCCCAAAAAUCCAUCCCGAGCUCAGGUGAGGGCUCAGGUGAGUCCUGGCAGGUCUGGGGUCACACCUGGCCGCAGGUGAACCCCGGGGGUCUCCCAGUUCUUCAUCCACUGUCGGUGACGUCACAACUCAGGUGAGACCACGUCGGGGCCUCACCUGGAGCCAAGGUGCUGCAGUUUGGGGUUCACACCUGGAGUUCAGGUGCUGCAGUUCAGGGUCCACACCUGGAGUUCAGGUGUGGCAGUUUGGGGUUCACACCUGGAGCUCAGGUGUUGCAGUCCGGGCGUUGCAGUUCGGGGUUCACACCUGGAGUUCAGGUGUUACAGUCCGGCUGUUACAGUUUGGGGUUCACACCUGGCUCAGGUUCUCUCACCUGGAGCUCAGGUGUUGCAGUCUGGGUGUUACAGUUUGGGGUUCACACCUGGCUCAGGUUCUCUCACCUGGAGCUCAGGUGUUGCAGUUCAGGUGUUGCUGCUGCAGCUUUUUGGGGUCCACAGGUGAUUUUGGGGGGCUCCACACCUGUCCUGGCUCACAGGUGCUGAAUCCUCCACCUGAAGCUUCAUCCACCAGGUGCUCCAGGUGUUCCAGCUGCAGGUGCUGCAGAUUUUUGGGCUCCACACCUGGCCUGGCUCCCUUCACCUGGGGCUCAGGUGUUGCAGUCCAGGUGUUCCCGCUGGCUUUUUUUGGGCUCCACACCCAUCUUGGGGCUGCAGCACCUCCACCCUCCCCUCACCUGGGGCUCAGGUGUUGCAGUCCAGGUGUCACAGCUACCGUUUUUUGGGGUCAAAACCACAAUUUUGGGGGGCUCCACACCCGCCCCGGCUCACAGGUGCCGGCUCCCCUCACCUGAGGGGC